AAACUUCAAAUUUCUUCACAUAAUUCAUCAAAAUUCUUGUAUAAUCGUGUUUAGCAUGUAUCAUUGAGUAGGAAUCAGGGUUUGGUUUGAAGAAUUUGGUCAAGAAUCGUGCAUCAAAAUUCUUGUAUAAUCGUGUUUAGCAUGUAUCAUUGAGUAGGAAUCAGGGUUUGGUUUGAAGAAUUUGGUCAAGAAUCGUGCAGAUCC
rnacentral:lncRNA from 1 species